rnacentral:rRNA from 1 species
GUGGGGAAUCUUGCGCAAUGGGCGAAAGCCUGACGCAGCCAUGCCGCGUGAAUGAUGAAGGUCUUAGGAUUGUAAAAUUCUUUCACCGGGGACGAUAAUGACGGUACCCGGAGAAGAAGCUCCGGCUAACUUCGUGCCAGCAGCCGCGGUAAUACGAAGGGGGCUAGCGUUGCUCGGAAUUACUGGGCGUAAAGGGCGCGUAGGCGGACAGCUUAGUCAGAGGUGAAAGCCCAGGGCUCAACCUUGGAAUUGCCUUUGAUACUGGCUGUCUUGAGUUUGGGAGAGGUGAGUGGAACUCCGAGUGUAGAGGUGAAAUUCGUAGAUAUUCGGAAGAACACCAGUGGCGAAGGCGACUCACUGGCCCAAUACUGACGCUGAGGCGCGAAAGCGUGGGGAUCAAACAGGAUUAGAUACCCGGGUAGUCC